AGCAGCCGCGGUAAUUCCAGCUCCAAUAGCGUAUAUUAAAGUUGUUGUGGUUAAAAAGCUCGUAGUUGAACCUUGGGCCUGGCUGGCCGGUCCGCCUCACCGCGUGUACUGGUCCGGCCGGGCCUUUCCCUCUGUGGAACCCCAUGCCCUUCACUGGGUGUGGCGGGGAAACAGGACUUUUACUUUGAAAAAUUAGAGUGCUCCAGGCAGGCCUAUGCUCGAAUACAUUAGCAUGGAAUAAUAGAAUAGGACGUGUGGUUCUAUUUUGUUGGUUUCUAGGACCGCCGUAAUGAUUAAUAGGGACAGUCGGGGGCAUCAGUAUUCAAUUGUCAGAGGUGAAAUUCUUGGAUUUAUUGAAGACUAACUACUGCGAAAGCAUUUGCCAAGGAUGUUUUCAUUAAUCAGGAACGAAAGUUAGGGGAUCGAAGACGAUCAGAUACCGUCGUAGUCUUAACCAUAAACUAUGCCGACUAGG
rnacentral:rRNA from 1 species